AGGUUUGCUGAUGUCUAACACUGUACAAAGGAUGUCAAGUUUUCCAAGAUCAUUUGCAAGUCAUUUGAGGCCAGGAUAUAGACCUACUCCAACUUCUUCUUCUGAUGGAAAUGGCUCUCUGGUGUCGGAUGGAGGGUCUAGGUAUUCAUGAUCAGUGCUACCUUCAUUUUAUGUUGGUUAGUUGCCUUUGUCUACCAUCCUUUUCAUUUUUCUACUGACAUACACAAAGCAAUUAUAGAUUUGGUGGAAAACCAGUAGCUAACAGCAAGUUGAUGAUUUUCGAGGAUCCUUUAUAGAUUUCUUGUGUUCUCGGUCGUGGCUGAUUGUAGAUUUUUGUGGUGAAACUUUGGCUGCUGACAUGAUGGUAUUGUGGUUUAGAGACACCACACCAUUAUGUCUAGCGUUAAAAUGGAUACUUUCUUUUUGCGGGUAGAAACAAACAGAUUCUACCCAAGUGAUCAG